GCAUAUCAAUAAGCGGAGGAAAAGAAACCAACAGGGAUUGCCCUAGUAACGGCGAGUGAAGCGGCAACAGCUCAAAUUUGAAAUCUGGCUUCGGCCCGAGUUGUAAUUUGCAGAGGAAGCUUUAGGCGCGGCACCUUCUGAGUCCCCUGGAACGGGGCGCCAUAGAGGGUGAGAGCCCCGUAUAGUUGGAUGCCUAGCCUGUGUAAAGCUCCUUCGACGAGUCGAGUAGUUUGGGAAUGCUGCUCAAAAUGGGAGGUAAAUUUCUUCUAAAGCUAAAUACCGGCCAGAGACCGAUAGCGCACAAGUAGAGUGAUCGAAAGAUGAAAAGCACUUUGAAAAGAGGGUUAAAUAGCACGUGAAAUUGUUGAAAGGGAAGCGCUUGUGACCAGACUUGCGCCGGGCAGAUCAUCCGGUGUUCUCACCGGUGCACUCUGCCCGGCUCAGGCCAGCAUCGGUUCUCGCGGGGGGAUAAAGGCCCUGGGAACGUAGCUCCUCCGGGAGUGUUAUAGCCCGGGGCGUAAUGCCCUCGCGGGGACCGAGGUUCGCGCAUCUGCAAGGAUGCUGGCGUAAUGGUCAUCAGCGACCCGUCUUGAAACACGGACCAAGGAGUCAAGGUUUUGCGCGAGUGUUUGGGUGUAAAACCCGCACGCGUAAUGAAAGUGAACGUAGGUGAGAGCUUCGGCGCAUCAUCGACCGAUCCUGAUGUUUUCGGAUGGAUUUGAGUAGGAGCGUUAAGCCUUGGACCCGAAAGAUGGUGAACUAUGCUUGGAUAGGGUGAAGCCAGAGGAAACUCUGGUGGAGGCUCGCAGCGGUUCUGACGUGCAAAUCGAUCGUCAAAUCUGAGCAUGGGGGCGAAAGACUAAUCGAACCAUCUAGUAGCUGGUACCGC
rnacentral:rRNA from 1 species